rnacentral:rRNA from 1 species
AUUGAACGCUGGCGGCAUGCUUUACACAUGCAAGUCGAACGGUAACAGGUUAAGCUGACGAGUGGCGAACGGGUGAGUAAUGUAUCGGAACGUGCCCAGUCGUGGGGGAUAACGUAGCGAAAGCUACGCUAAUACCGCAUACGAUCUGUGGAUGAAAGCGGGGGACCGUAAGGCCUCGCGCGAUUGGAGCGGCCGAUAUCAGAUUAGGUAGUUGGUGGGGUAAAGGCCCACCAAGCCAACGAUCUGUAGCUGGUCUGAGAGGACGACCAGCCACACUGGGACUGAGACACGGCCCAGACUCCUACGGGAGGCAGCAGUGGGGAAUUUUGGACAAUGGGGGCAACCCUGAUCCAGCAAUGCCGCGUGCAGGAAGAAGGCCUUCGGGUUGUAAACUGCUUUUGUACGGAACGAAAAGGCUCUGGUUAAUACCUGGGGUUUAUGACGGUACCGUAAGAAUAAGCACCGGCUAACUACGUGCCAGCAGCCGCAGUAA